UUUUUUUUUUUUUUUUUUUUUGGUCUUUUUAGGGCCACAUCUGUGGCAUAUCAAAGAUCCAGGCUAGGAGUCAAGUUGGAGCUGUAGCUGCUGACUACAGCCACACCUACAGCAAUGAGGGAUCCAAGCCACAUCUGCAACCUACACCACAGCUCACAGCAACAACAGAUCCUUAACCCACUGAGCAAGGCCAGGGAUUGAACCCAUGUCCUCAUGGAUACUAGUUGGAUUCCUUACCACUGAGCCAUGAUGGGAACUCCAUGUUGAUUUGAUUUUGAACUUGUAAUGAUGACUUAUGGGGCCACAUGAGUUAUGCAGAGCAAGGAAAAACUCUGGGAAGUCAUUAGAGUGUGCUGAUAGAGAUAUGACUGCAACUACUGUGUAAAUAAGAAUAUUUGGUAUAAUCAGGAGUGGUCGCAGGAAAUAUAUAUUAAUUAAAAAAAUAUUAAGCAUCUGCUAAUUAACAGGAACAACAUUAAACUUCUCCAUCCAAUUAAAAAAAACCCCAUUCUUCACAAUAGUUUCAUGAUGUGGUCACUAUUAGCUUGGUAUUCCUGACAAACAGACAUAAAAAAUAAUCUGCUUAAGGCUACAUAGCUGGUAGGUGGGAAAACCAGGGUGAGAAGCAUGGUGCAUCUGACUUCAUAGGCCACCUGGAUUAGUGGCAAAUCUCUUGCUUUCCCCCUGGCACUAUGUCUUUCUCUCCUUGUCUUUUUUUGCUAAUGCAGUUUUCGCAAUUUUAUUUAUGAUACUGAGAAAACAACUUGGGAUACACAUAGCUUUAAAACACCCAGGACUAAUAAAAUUACACAUCAAAAUCACAGGACAAAACACUAUCCAAAGUAAUUCCAGCUCCUUUCAUCAAUUUAGCAGUAAUUAGAUCUAGGGAGGCUCCGGGAGUCCUGUGUUCCAACUAUUUCUAGAAGAUUAUGUUUCUACCGCCAUGCACCAUACUUCCAAUUAUAUUUUGAGAAUUGUUUUUAUCACUGUCCCAGGAAGGAGGCUCUUUUACCUUGUUUUCCUCCCAUUAUUCCAACCAGAAUAAAUUUAGUUUUAUUUAAAGGAAGAAAAUAACUACCCCAAAUACCUCACACCAAAAUAUUCCACCUUUGUAUAAACAGCACCACUGUGCUACUGACCUAUUUAUAUCCCCUGGCUACUUCUAACUAAAUCAUGACAUUCAAAAUAUUAAAUGUUAAAUGUUUCUAAUAUCACCAAGUAGAUAGUCUCUAGCUUUCUUUUUUAAAAAAGCUGUCACUUGGAAAAAGCACUUUGGUGCUACUAACUAGAAACCUCCCAUAGGGAUGUCUGAUGAAGGCAAAUGAUAAAACUGAUCAAAAAUCUGAUUCUACUUUGGAGAUUGGUACAUAUUGGGUGUAAUAAUUACUGAGUUACACUUGAAAGCACGUACAGCAUCUAGUAACCAUGGUUUAUUAACAUAAUAAUAUUUACUAGCAUGGAUGUUUGGGAAAAAAAUCUUAAGGGGGUCCUCUUGAAUACAUAGUCGUCCCCUCACCCCGCCCCACUGGGCCCACGCCUCCCCCCCACAUGAUUAGAUCAAAUAAUUGCUUUGAUCAGAUUCAAAACAUUGGGAAAUCAAGGAGUUUGUUCACCAUGUCACCAGAUCAAGCUUUCCUUCAAAACAAAUGAGGAAUUAUCAUUUCAUUUUUGGUCAGAGGCAGACUAGUAAAAAACAUUUUUAUGGGUUUUCAAACUGAAAGUAUUAUUUAUGAUUUGCAACCCAUUUAUGAUUUGAAUACCCCAUUCUUUGCAGUCUGUUCACCAGAUAAUAUGGUCAUCACAGAGCUGACCUUGGGGGUAGAGACAAUUCUACAUUCUUGCUUUUGAAUUUCACAUACUGCAAAUUUAGAAGGAAACACUGUCCAUUGCUGACCAGCCAAAUUAAUUACUCUUGAUUGACUGAAAGCAAAACAGAUUGAUUACUUGCAUGGUUGUUUUAAAGAUAAUCCUGCAAACUGGAAAAACUUCAGAUGAGAUGAGAAUUAAGUUCCAAAAGCACCAAGAAUUCCAAAAGAAAAUAUAUUCACAAACAAGUAUUAAGAUAUCAAGCGCUUCAGAGCGAGGGGAAGGAACAAUGGCCAGUGUCACACUCUCAGGGACAGAGUGGAAGAUACAAAUGCUGAUCCUCAAGAAAUGAACAUCAUGGAGGAUACUUUCAUUGGGAACCGCCUAGAAGAUGAUAGAGACUCUUUCUCUUAAGAUUCCAGUUUGCUCAGGAAUCUGUAAACACAUAUAUAGAAUUUUCUAAUAACAAUUCACAAUAUCCUCCCCCAAAUAGUCAAAUACUACAAAUUUUAGGCAAAUGUUUAUUGUAUGAGAAGAGCAUGGCUUUGGGGAUUAGGGAGAUCAGGGCUAUUCUGACCUAGCAGAAUGUAUUCAGUUUUUCAGUUUCAUGAGAAAGAAUAUCAUUAAUUUGGAAUCACAGCUGGUUAGGAUAUCGUCAGGGUAUAUUUUCCAGUAAGACAGAAAUGUGUGUGGUUGUCUUUUCAUGCUGUUUUCUUCUCCAUGACCUUCUUCCUCCCAUCUCUUCUGCCUAAAGCAGAUGCUUGCAUGUGAAUAGGAAGGAGAGUAUGGAGAGAGAACGCCUGAUGAAUGCUCAGAAGCCAGAGCAAUAACAGCCCUAUCUCAAGGGGUCUGGAGAGGCAGGAUGGUAUAUGAGAUCUAGAACAGGGUGGGAGACACACUGUGGGAGCAGGACAGGUUUCAGCACUGCACCCACUCAUCUGGAUUCACCUACCUCCUCCAUCUUUUAUUAGCUAUGUGACUUAGGGCAAGUUCCUUUACUUCUCGUAGUGUUGACUUUAUUAUUUGAAAAAUGAAGAGAAGAGACUACUUAGGAUAAUGCUUGCUUGUAAAGCCCUUAACACAAUCUGGCACCUAACAAUUGCUUAGUUUCUAUUAGUCAUCAUUAUCAUUGUUAUUAUUACUUGCUUCUGUGAAAAGGAACUUCACUAGGAAAAGAUGACUCUAGAUGCAAAUACAAGUGCCGCCCUCUGAUAGCUUCCAUUUUAACCCUGAGGCAGGAGAUAAUGCCAGCUACUUUGCUUUGGAGGGGAGACCAGAGCAAAGGCAAAAGGGUGGACCUUUACCAAAGCAGCGAGACUAAAAAUCAUUUACAAAGACAAAAACAGUGUGGGUGAUCUCUGAUUUUGUUUACCAAUUCCCUUUCCCCAAAAUAAUGCUUGAUGGAUGUUUUAAUAACUGUUGAGCUACUUUUAAAAAAUUUAUCUAUUUGAUGAUAUAAUCAAUCAUUUCUUUUGCUACUGUAGUUUAUGCAUGUAUGAAAAAAAAUCACUUACAAAUUAGGAUUGGUAUACAUCUUGAAAUAUGGAAAAACUCUAUGACUACCAUAACUAAAGAUACUUUUAAUCCACAACCAAUGUCUAAAUUCCAAACCAUUCUUGUUUUUAAAUCUCUAUACAUGACAUACCGCUAGGGGUUUGUAUUUUCCUUUAAAAUAACUAUUUAUUUUCAUGAGAUUUUCAGGGAGGACUUCAGAAAUUACACUGAAGUAUUUUCAGAAAGAAAAUUGUUAAGACUAAAGAUAACAAACUUCCCAUUUAACAUAAACUUGUUUGUAUUUUUUUGUCUUUUUGGGGGGGAGGGAGGCCCCUGCGGUAUAUGGAAGUUCCCAGGCUAGGGAUGGAAUCAGAGCUGCAGCUGCUGACCUACGCCAUAGCCACAGCAACGAGCUGCAUCUACAACCUACACCACAGGUCACAGCAAAGCCAGACUCUUAACCCACUGAGCAAGGCCAGGGAUUGAACCCAUGUCCUCAUGGAUACUAGAUGGAUUCAUUUCCUCUGAGCCACGAUGGGAACUCCCCAUUUAAUAUAAAGUUAACAUAAUUACAAUUGAAUUGUAUUUCUCCAUAUAAGUUUUCUGUGCUUCCAUAAAAGUGUUCCUUCAAAGAUUUGGGAUCCCUAUAUAUUAAUUUACUCUGAUUUUGUCAGUGGUUUUGGUAAUUGAUUAAGUGAAAUAGUUGGAAAAUGACCUAUAAAAGACUGUCAAGGCCAAUUUAACCUGUAAUUCAGAUGAACUUUUCACUAUGUCAGCUGCUUGCAUGGGAUAAACAGAUUUGAGAGCAGAUGGAAAAUUUGUUGUAGGAAUGUAUUGACCACUGUCCCCUUCCCACCCAUGCCACUACGGAUGCUCAGUCCAAGACAAAAGAGGCCGGGGACAACAUUGUGCUCCCCAUCAUAUGCGCUCUACCCUGUGGUACAGAAUUUGAUGAAAUUUCACUGAGGCAAGCAUCAAUAUUUAGGAGGCCCUGAGUAUAAUUAGAGGAUAAGUUCCUUGAGGGCCAGAACUGAGUGAUCACUGGAUCCCUAGUUUCCAGUACAUGACUUGACCCUGCUCGUAGAAGCACGAAAUCUGUAUGUGUGAAUGAAUGCAUGAUUUAUAAGGAAUUUAGAAAUUUAGAUAUUUCAUAUAUCUACCUCUUCCCUACGUACAUCUUAUUAGCAGAGCUAAUUAAAAGUUGAACCAUCUUAGGCUUCUGUCUUCACUGCAGAGACCCAUCUGGGCUCAUCAAUUCACCCUCUUCACCAAACAACUCGAGUCACACAGCAUAUGUUUAGUAAUUUAUCACCUUUUAAAAAAAAUAAAACUCUGCUAGGGAGUAUUUGCAGUCCAGAAAAACCUCAUUAGUAUCACACAGCAAGUCCAAUCCUCCCACCUAACUUUUCAUCACUGCCGGAGAACAAAUGUGUGCCUGAAUUUAGGAAAUGAUAUUAUUUGUUUUUAACUCACUGCAUUUUAAAAUUAUUAUUAACUUAAUUUUUAUUUCAUAUUGAAGUAUAGUUGAUUUACAAUGUUGUCAGUUUCAGGUGUACAGCAAAAUGAUUCAGAAAUACAUAUAAAUAUAUCCACCGAAAUGACAUUAUUUCUGAUGUUGCACUAUUUAAUACCACAUGGCUUUGGAAUAGUUCAGUUUACAGAUGCAUGUAUAGUGUUCAAUGUAUGAUGGAAUCAUUCAGAUAAGACUAAACUGCUCCCUGCAGUUACUAAAUAAAAGGAAAAAAUUGAUUGUCAAAAGUAAGAAUUUUUUUUAACAUGUUCACAUCAUCGGUAAUUCUGCCACAUCAAGUGUUGGAGUAUGAGGCUAUUUCUACUUCAUGGCGCCUUGCUUGACCUUUGUAUCAAUUUGAAAAAAAUCUAUUUGGGGGCAAUACCUUCAAUGUUGAACGCCUACCUAUUUUUAAUAUUUUUAUGUAAGAUCCUCAAGCGUGCAUUUGAACAUGUCCAACAGAACACAGUUUUUUUCUCCCAGAAGCGAUUUGUAGUGGUGACAGCAAAAACACCAGACGGCAGAGCAGAGGGUGCUGGGGGCCAGGGGGAAGCAGGAGGAUCACGGGUAAGAAGUAUGAGCUCGGGGGUCAGACUGCCCACUUUUGUUUGUUUGUUUCUUUUUUUUUUUUAAGUUUUUUUUUUUAAGGGAUGCACCUGUGGGGUCAAAUCGGAGCUGCAGCUGCCGGCCACAGCCACAGCCAAAUCCGAGCUGUGCCUGCGACCUACACCACAGCUCCAGGCAACGUUAGAUCCUUAAUCCCCUGGGGGAGGUCAGAGAUCGAACUGGUAACCUCAUGGAUACUAGUUGGGUUCGUUACCGGCUGAGCCACAACAGGAACUCCUGUUUCUUUUUUGCUGUUUCUUGGGCCGCUCCGCGGCAUAUGGAGCGGCCCUAGGAAAAAAGGCAAAAAAAAAAAAAAAAAAAA
rnacentral:lncRNA from 9 species